rnacentral:ncRNA from 1 species
AUCAUUCCGAUGAUGGGGAACAGUAAAUAAGAUUCGCAUGGAUAGAGAGAAUCCACCUUAGGCUGAAAGUGGAUUUACAUGACGGCUUUUUGAAAGAACACCCCGUAGGUUCGACUCUGAAAAGUGAUUCACUUAGUAGGAAUUGACGUAUGCAGGCGUUAACUGCCUCGAGUGGAAGCUUUUUAGCUUCAAUUAGGGUGGCACCACGGGAUCAAACUCCCGUCCCUUGU